UACGUAGGGGACUAGCGUUGUUCGGAAUUACUGGGCGUAAAGCGCACGUAGGCGGCUUGUUUAGUCAGGGGUGAAAUCCCGAGGCUCAACCUCGGAACUGCCUUUGAUACUGGCAAUCUCGAGUCCGGAAGAGGUGAGUGGAAUUCCUAGUGUAGAGGUGAAAUUCGUAGAUAUUAGGAAGAACACCAGUGGCGAAGGCGGCUCACUGGUCCGGUACUGACGCUGAGGCACGAAAGCGUGGGGAGCAAACAGG
rnacentral:rRNA from 1 species